CCAAAAUAUUCCUUUUUUCCUCUCCUCUUCCCUUUCAUUUCAAGCACUUCUCCCACCUACUUUCUCUCAUGCUGUUUUACCUAUUUCUCUUACUGCAUAAGUUAUUUUGUACAUGAUUCCAGGCUACUCCCGGUUCAGUUGAGAGGCUAUUCUAUGCUACCUCUUUCACAUGUACUUUUCCCUGUCUCCUCGUGUGAUGACUAUGUACUCUAUACUUCAUCUUAUUAAUUC